rnacentral:rRNA from 1 species
UACAGAGGGUGCGAGCGUUAAUCGGAUUUACUGGGCGUAAAGGGCGCGUAGGCGGUGAAAUGGGUGUGAUGUGAAAGCCCUGGGCUUAACCUAGGAAGUGCAUCGCAAACUAUUUGACUGGAGUAUAUGAGAGGGUGGCGGAAUUUCCGGUGUAGCGGUGAAAUGCGUAGAGAUCGGAAGGAACGUCAAUGGCGAAGGCAGCCACCUGGCAUAAUACUGACGCUGAGGCGCGAAAGCGUGGGGAGCAAAC